CUGGUCUACAAAGUGAGUUCCAGGACAGCCAGAGCUAUAAAGAGAAACCCUGUCUUGAAAAACCAAAAAAAAAAAAAAAGAAAAAAAAAAGAAAAAAGAGAGAUCUCCCUUCCUAUUUAAGGCUGUUGCUUUGAGGGACUGACAUAUAAUAGCUCAGGGCUAGAGGUUAGCAGGUUGUUCCUAGAGCCUAGAGGGGAAGGUCUUGAUCUGGUCCAUUUCUGAGCUGGCUUUCGUUAUCAGAUUUUAAUAUCUAAAUCUUGACUCUGGCAGUCCCAACAAGCUAGAGUUGGUCCUUUGGUGACAGUACACUACUUAAAGAGAUACUUAGCGGCUGGAAAGAUGGCUCAGCAGGGUUAAGAGCACUGACUGCUCUGGCCCAGAGGUCCUGAGUUCAAUUCCCAGCAACCACAUGGUGGCUCACAACCAUCUAUAAUGGGAUCCGAUGCCCUCUUCUGGUGUGUCUGAAGACAGAUAUAGUGUACUCAUAUAAAUACAAUAAAUCUUAAAAAAAAAAGAAAGGAAGAAAGAAAAAGAAAUACUUAGCGACCAAAGGCAGAGAAAGGAUAUUUGUCCAGUGUGGUUACACUGUGAUGUUUAGAUGAAGGUGUCCAAGGACCCCAUGUCCAUCCUUUUAGGUUUAAAGAGAGGGCAAGAGGCAUGAGGACUAAGCAGUCCUCUUGACUGGCCCACCGUUGCCCAUCACCGUCUCAGUUCAUGUCUGCCUUACAAGGUGGUUCAAUAAAUACAGUUGCUAAUCCACCAGCUGCAGAGCAAGCGAGAGAGAGAGAGAGAGAGAGAGAGAGAGAGAGAGAGAGAGCAAGAGCGCACUCGAGAGAGAGAGAGAGCCUUACCCAUGGAUAGUUCUCAUCUGGGGAUGUGAGGGUUCUAGGUGUCCCCUGAGUUGUGUGCUGGGUGUCUCAAAGAAAGGUUAAGGAGCGCCUCUCACUGAGGCUUCAAGCAAACCAGAAGGAACGCAGCCGAGAUGCCAGCUUUCAUCCCGGUUUUCAUUGCCUUUCCGAGUUGUCAUUGUGAUACUACGGGGUUUCUCAUCUCUGGGCCUCGUCCUCCUGUCUGUCUUCCUGGAAACUGGGAGGGUGGAGCUGGGGAGUCAUUUUGUUAGUUUGUUUUGGGAUGUGUGUGUGUUUUCAAGAUAGGAUCUCACCACGUAGCCCUGGCUGUCCUGAAACUCACUCUGUUGAUCAGGCUGACCUUGAACUCACAGAGAUCUAUCUGUCUCUGCCUCCCGAGUGCUGGGAUUAAAGCUGUGUGGUUACUGCCUGGCUAGGGGCUCAGGAAUCUGGCUUGGGAAAGGAUUCUCUCAAGGUUUGAGCAGAGUCAUCCCUCAGUGUGAGGGGCUGGGCUUGAAGGCUGGCACCAUGGCUAGCUCACCUUGCUGGGGACACCGACAAAGGUCAGCCGGUUGCCUUGGCCUCUUUGGGUUCUGGUUUAUUGGUGAGGGGAGCUGGUCUCUCUGGAGAUUACCCGAGUUUCUUUUCAUUUAAUUGAUGUAUUGCUUGUAUCCGUAUAGGUGUUUUGUCUGCAUGUAUGUCAGUGCUCCACAGGCAUGCUUGGUGCCUACGGAGGCCAGAAGAGGACAUCAGGUCCCCUGUGAGUUACAGAUAGCUGCGAGCUGCCACGUGGGUACUUAGAAUUGAACUCAGGUUCCCUGGAAGAACAGCCAAUGCUGUUGACUUGGUCUUGCCUCACCACCUGUCUUUCCUCAGUCCAUGAGUGUUGCCUUAGCAAAACUCCACGUGCGUCUUUAUCUGACAUCGUUCUAUCGGUCAGAGUCUUUGGAAGAGGCAAGAAGCCGCAGGAAUCUCUCCAUUUAUUUCUCUCUAUGAGUCUUGACCAUUGGAGCUCAACAACGCAUGUAAAGUGAACCAAUACAUGUGUGUCAUUAUCGAAGAAUCCUUCAUCAUGUGUCCUUUCAUGUGCUUGCUUUAGCAAAACAUUCUUCCACCUGUGUCUGCUUCAGCGAAACGUUCCUUCACAUGUCUGACUCCACCCAACACAACUGACUUUCCAAAGAACUGUUAAGUUUCCACUUCCCAGGGUGGGGGUACAUGCAUGAUGUGUAUGGAGGUCAAAGGACAACUUGUGGGAGUUGGUUCCGUCUUUUCACAGUGUAAGCUAAGGAAGCGCCGGUCAUCGGUCAUUGGCUUGGCAGCAAACACACUGAGAUAGCUCUUUCUAGCCCAACCCUCAGCUUUUCUUUCCUCCUCCCCUUCCUUCCUCCUCCUCCUCCUCUCUUCUUUGUCUUCUCCUUUCUCCCAUCUCAGGCUUGGAGAUAGAAGUUUCUGAUCUGGAUCUUGGUAUGGAGAUCUUAAGGCUUAGUGGCUAUGGAUUCCAGAAGAUUAAAUCUCCGAGUUCAAGGUCAUCUGGAUUGAAAGGUGUGGUGGAGCACACCUUUAAUCUGGGCUACACCUUCUGCUGGAGACAAUAUAAGGACAUUGGAAGAAGGGAGUCUUGCUCUUGCUCCUUCCCCUGCUUGCCGUGUGAGAUUGAGUAACUGCUAGAUCCUUGGACUUCCAUUAACAGCUACUACUGAACCAUUGUUGGGAAUUGGGCUGCCGACUGUAAGUCAUCAAUAAACUCCUUUACUAUAUAGAGACUACCCAUAAGUUCUGUGACUCUAGAGAACCCUGACUAAUACAGAUGGACUCUCAGUAUCUCACCUAUAGAGUUUAGGUUUUCCUCAACUCAUCCUGCCUCAGCCACUUAAAUGCUGAGAUUAUAGGUUUGAGCCACGAUCCGAUUCCAGGUGCCAGGAAGGAUUUUCUAAUAGACAUUAUAGUAGACCUAGCUUAGUUUUCUUAACUCCAUAUGGACAGCUUGUUUGAAUAUCCUAUUAAACACACACACACACACACACACACACACACACACACACACACACAAAGAGAGUACAGGCACUUGCUGCCAACCCCCCCCCCACACACACACACAGAGUACAGGCACUUGCUGCCAA
rnacentral:lncRNA from 1 species